rnacentral:rRNA from 1 species
CGGAAGGUCCGGGCGUUAUCCGGAUUUAUUGGGUUUAAAGGGAGCGUAGGCCGCUUUGUAAGCGUGUUGUGAAAUUUUGCCGGCUCAACCGGUAACUUGCAGCGCGAACUGCAGAGCUUGAGUGUGCGCAACGUUGGCGGAAUUCGUCGUGUAGCGGUGAAAUGCUUAGAUAUGACGAAGAACUCCGAUUGCGAAGGCAGCUGACGGGAGCACUACUGACGCUGAAGCUCGAAAGUGCGGGUAUCGAACAGGAUU